CGGGUUAACCGUCGACCCAAGAGACGUGGGAUAACCACCUAGGAAACAGAUGCUAAGUACCGGAUAACAACACUAGACGCAUGUCUAGAGUUUAAAAGAUGGUUCUGCUAUCACUCUUGGAUGGACCUGCGGUGCAUUAGCUAGUUGGUAAGGUAACGGCUUACCAAGGCAAUGAUGCAUAGCCGAGUUGAGAGACUGAUCGGCCACAUUGGGACUGAGACACGGCCCAAACUCCUACGGGAGGCAGCAG
rnacentral:rRNA from 1 species